AACGAACGCUGGCGGCAUGCCUAACACAUGCAAGUCGAACGAGACCUUCGGGUCUAGUGGCGCACGGGUGCGUAACGCGUGGGAACCUGCCCUUAGGUUCGGAAUAACUCCCAGAAAGGGGUGCUAAUACCGGAAAAUGUCUUCGGACCAAAGAUUUAUCGCCUUUGGAUGGGCCCGCGUUGGAUUAGCUAGUUGGUAGGGUAAAAGCCUACCAAGGCGACGAUCCAUAGCUGUUCUGAGAGGAUGUUCAGCCACACUGGGACUGAGACACGGCCCAGACUCCGACGGGAGGCAGCAGGGGGGAAUAUUGGACAAUGGGCGAAAGCCUGAUCCAGCAAUGCCGCGUGAGUGAUGAAGGCCGUAGGGUUGUAAAGCUCUUUUACCCGGGAUGAUAAUGACAGUACCGGGAGAAUAAGCUCCGGCUAACGCC
rnacentral:rRNA from 1 species